rnacentral:rRNA from 1 species
GAACUUAAGCAUAUCAAUAAGCGGAGGAAAAGAAACCAACAGGGAUUGCCCCAGUAACGGCGAGUGAAGCGGCAACAGCUCAAAUUUGAAAUCUGGCCCCUCGGGCCCGAGUUGUAAUUUGCAGAGGAUGCUUUUGGUGAGGCGCCGCCUGAGUUCCCUGGAACGGGACGCCAUAGAGGGUGAGAGCCCCGUCUGGCUGGCCGCCGAGCCUCUGUAAAGCUCCUUCGACGAGUCGAGUAGUUUGGGAAUGCUGCUCUAAAUGGGAGGUAUAUGUCUUCUAAAGCUAAAUAUUGGCCAGAGACCGAUAGCGCACAAGUAGAGUGAUCGAAAGAUGAAAAGCACUUUGAAAAGAGGGUUAAAUAGUACGUGAAAUUGUUGAAAGGGAAGCGCUCAUGACCAGACUUGGGCCUGGCGAAUCAUCCGGCGUUCUCGCCGGUGCACUUCGCCAGGCUCAGGCCAGCAUCAGUUCGCCGCGGGGGAUAAAGGUUUCGGGAACGUGGCUCCUCCGGGAGUGUUAUAGCCCGUUGCGUAAUACCCUGCGGUGGACUGAGGUCCGCGCAUCUGCAAGGAUGCUGGCGUAAUGGUCAUCAGCGACCCGUCUUGAAACACGGACCAAGGAGUCGUCUUCGUAUGCGAGUGUUCGGGUGUCAAACCCCUACGCGUAAUGAAAGUGAACGCAGGUGAGAGCUUCGGCGCAUCAUCGACCGAUCCUGAUGUUCUCGGAUGGAUUUGAGUAAGAGCAUACGGGGCCGGACCCGAAA